rnacentral:tRNA from 1 species
AUUUAGCUCAGUGGAAUAGCGCCUGCCUGGCAAGCACGAGGUCCUGAGUUCAAUUCUCUGUAU